AUGCACGCUGGCGGCGUGCCUUAUACAUGCCAGUCGAGUGGGUUUAGACCCACGGCAAACGGGUGAGUAACACGUAGGUACUUUCCUUGUCACAGGAAUAACCCUCCGAAAGGAGGGCUAAUACCUGAUGUGAUCGCAAGAUUAAAGGGUAUCCGCAAGGAUUACCGGACAAGAAGAGGCCUGCGGCCUAUCAGCUAGUUGGCGGGGUAAAUGCCCACCAAGGCUAUGACGGGUAGCUGGUCUUAUGAGGAUGAUCAGUCACAUGGGCACUGAGACACGGGCCCAACUCCUACGGGAGGCAGCAGUAGGGAAUUUUGCGCAAUGGGCGAAAGCCUGACGCAGCGACGCCGCGUGCGGGAUGAAGGCCUUCGGGUCGUAAACCGCUUUUAUAAGGGACGAACUUUGACGGUACCUUAUGAAUAAGAGGUUGCUAACUCUGUG
rnacentral:rRNA from 1 species